AUCUUCUCAUUGAGCUCCUUUCUGUCAAUUGGUGGCAGUUUAUGGAUUCGCACGAGAAGAAGAGACAGUUCACACUUAGCAUUAUUUUACCUUCUGUCUUCAUGGAGGUAUAUUUUGCUGAUCUGUGAGACAUUU
ensembl:snoRNA SNORA75 Small nucleolar RNA SNORA75